CAUAGAGCCUGUUUCAAGUAAAGCAACCAAGCCAGCCUUCUCCCUGCCAUCUGUAUUGCCUGAUCCAGACUCAGGACAUUGCCAAAUUUAGGAGCUGGAAGUGCAGCAGGAGUAUAGCACAAGACUGCAUGCUCACCCUGAGAACCUGGGACCACAGAGGAGCCACACUGGCAUCAAAUCCCUAAGGCCUCCUGUGGAAGAUGGUGGAGGGGACUUGGGGCAACCAGAAAACCCUCAAUAGACCAGGACUUAGACAUUGAAAGAAAGGGAAAGGCAGAAGUGAAAGAAGGGUAGGAUGGCUCAGCUAAAUAAAAUGUAAACCUGAGACUAGAGACAGCACAUUCCCACAGAGACUUGCCAACAAAAUAUGCUGAACUCAAGCACUCUGUACUUUUGUCUGUCCAUCCUCUCAACAAGCAUUUACUUCCUCUGUGUAGGGCUGUGAUGGAGGGUUAAGCUUCCCUUUGAGAAUCUUGAUGUAGAACUGAAAUCUGGGGAAAAUGUGGUCCCCAACUUUGGGGAGAUAAGCACCAGGGGCAACCAGUGUGGCCCUUAAUGAAGAAGACCAGAGAGAGGAGCUUAGAGCCACAGCCACCAAAGAAUACGGGAGAGGCAUGAAGGCCGCCUACCCCUAGCUGGGAAGAAAGAGCAGGGCUUGUGCUUCUAGCCAUGGCCAGGUGAGGGCUGGAACUCCAAGAUCCCCAUCAUCAAUGUCCCCUUACCCCAACACUGGAGGUCCCAACCAAGGACAAAUCAAGACUUGGAUGUGUUCCAAUGAGUCAGCACCAUGUUUUUAAAAACGUUAAUCUGAAUAUCUUUAG
rnacentral:lncRNA from 1 species